rnacentral:rRNA from 1 species
GACGAACGCUGGCGGCGUGCCUAAUACAUGCAAGUCGAGCGAGCUUGCCUAGAUGAUUUUAGUGCUUGCACUAAAUGAAAACUAGAUACAAAGCGAGCGGCGGACGGGUGAGUAACACGUGGGUAACCUGCCCAAGAGACUGGGAUAACACCUGGAAACAGAUGCUAAUACCGGAUAACAACACUAGACGCAUGUCUAGAGUUUGAAAGAUGGUUCUGCUAUCACUCUUGGAUGGACCUGCGGUGCAUUAGCUAGUUGGUAAGGUAACGGCUUACCAAGGCAAUGAUGCAUAGCCGAGUUGAGAGACUGAUCGGCCACAUUGGGACUGAGACACGGCCCAAACUACCUACGGGAGGGCAGCAGUAAGGGAAUACUUCCUAACCAAAUAGGACGGAAAAGUACUGAUGGAGCAACGCCGCGUGAGUGAAGAA